rnacentral:lncRNA from 1 species
GGGUCCUUUAACAUUUUUAUAGCUUGUUGUUCUGUGUGAGCCAAGGCUCUGUGUUGAAGGCUGUACAUUGACCUAUAAUGGUUUACUUUUAUAAAUUGUAAUUUGGAUGAAAGGCACUCAUACCACAUCUUCCUAUAUCUAUCUACUGAAUGUUUUCUAUUUCAAUGGGUUAUAUUUAAAAACAGGGAUUUGAAGCAAACAUUAUUUUGAAUUAGGAGAAAAAAACCUGAGUCAACAGACUCUUUAAUAUUGACAAUUUGGAAAACAAACUCAGGGCGAACUUUGUAAUCGAAUAUAUAUUUUAUCAUGAUUAUUAUAGAUUUCUUGAGAGAAAGAAAAAAGUCUUUCUAUUAAAAUUAAGAAGGCAAACACAUCAAUCUUUUAGUUUCAGAAGAAUUCUGAAUCAUUAUAAAUGUAUGUCAAUGAAAAUUAAAUCAGUGUUUGCUUCAAGAAAAUUAUGAAAAUACCCCCCCCCCCCCUUCUUUUUCUCCCAAAGACAAAUGGUCAAUGCUCUUCUUCCUAUAUUUAUGAGUUGAUGUGAUGUUUCUACAGUAGGUCUUUUUAUGGUGUCAAAUUGCUUUUUCUAACCAAAAGAAAUAAAUAACAAACUUACCAGAACCAAAUGAAACUGAAAGUUUUGCCUUCGAAUUUCCGUUGCUAGAUUUGCAAGGGUCAUGAAAGGAUGACAGCAACUCAUUUUGUCUUCUUGUCCAAUGCAAUCCAACUCCUGUCCAUGUUUGCAGCAUAUGCAUUUAAAAUUAUGUUAUGUGAGUCUGAAACCUAGACAUGAUAGUGAUAGUCUAGCCUCAUGAGUCAUGUCUAGACUAUCUGAUCAGGAUCAGACUUAUCCCAAUGGCAGUGGGAAUGUCUUAGCCACAUGGUUUACUAUGUCUUUG